rfam:Serratia sp. M24T3 contig010, whole genome shotgun sequence.
UGGGGUAGCUGAAUUAGAGAUCGGCGCCCGUUUAAUUAAUCUAUAAUAUUUUGGAGUUCAUUAUGUCUCUAAGCGUUGAAGCUAAAGCUCAAAUCGUUGCAGACUUCGGUCGUGGUACU